GAUGAACGCUGGCGGCGUGCCUAAUACAUGCAAGUCGAGCGAACGGACGAGAAGCUUGCUUCUCUGAUGUUAGCGGCGGACGGGUGAGUAACACGUGGAUAACCUACCUAUAAGACUGGGAUAACUUCGGGAAACCGGAGCUAAUACCGGAUAAUAUUUUGAACCGCAUGGUUCAAAAGUGAAAGACGGUCUUGCUGUCACUUAUAGAUGGAUCCGCGCUGCAUUAGCUAGUUGGUAAGGUAAAGGCUUACCAAGGCAACGAUGCAUAGCCGACCUGAGAGGGUGAUCGGCCACACUGGAACUGAGACACGGUCCAGACUCCUACGGGAGGCAGCAGUAGGGAAUCGUCCGCAAUGGGCGAAAGCCUGACGGAGCAACGCCGCGUGAGUGAUGAAGGUCUUCGGAUCGUAAAACUCUGUUAUUAGGGAAGAACAUAUGUGUAAGUAACUGUGCACAUCUUGACGGUACCUAAUCAGAAAGCCACGGCUAACUACGUG
rnacentral:rRNA from 1 species